GUGCUUGCUUUGGCAGCACAUAUACUAAAACUGGAACAAUACAGAGAAGGUUAGUAUGGUCCCUACACAAGGAUGACACACAAAUUUAUGAAGUAUUCCAUAUUUUU
rnacentral:snRNA from 1 species